rnacentral:lncRNA from 1 species
CCCCCCCCCCCCCCCCCCCCCCCCCCCCCCCCUGGCGGCAGCGCGCGUUGCUUAGCAACGGGAACGCCGUGAGGGCCUGGGACCCUCAGGCUGGGCCUGCGCCUUGUCCACCGUUCUGGACACAAAAACCCUUCACAGACGAGCCCUGGUUGUUAUUUUGUGCAAAGUCAUUGGCACAGGGCUUGUGUGGGCCUGGGGUUCCUGCACUGGUUCUGCAAAAGGUGCUGGGUGCAGCCGCCUUGAUUUGAGUAACAGCCGGCAACUUGUGCCAAAGGCAAAACCCAUUUCAAGCCACAUACGAGUCUUCCCUGUGCAGGCGUUUAAUAUGCAAACGGAUAAAAGCCAAACCCAACAAUUACACAAAGGGAAUUCGCAUCAUCAUAAAACAACAACGGGCUUUAAUCUUUUAAAUCUGAAACAAAACAGCGGGUAAUUGAAGAAUGGAUAUUAGCAAUUAGGAAAGCGGAACUAAAUGCUUAAAAUUGCGCAGUGGAAAAGGGAGUUCAUAAAGCAGAUUGCUCUCAUCAUCCAGCUGCUUUUGUUGGAACUGCUUUAUUUAGGGUGUAUAGUUUGUUUUAACUUAAUAAAAAUUAAUUCGUAAUAGAUUGUAAAAAACCUCAAGAUCUUUGGAAAAGUAAACGUUACUGAGGUUUGCUUGAAGAAAGGAGACAAAAUUAUCUGCAUUUUAUAGGGGAGCUGAGGCCUAGGAGAGACACAACUCAUCCUCUGAGGCAAUGGCCAAGCAAAAGAAAGGUUCUAACCUUGAUAUUUGAACUUAUAGUACAGAAAACCAACCAAAAGCACAAUUUUCAUCUGUCUGGGAAGAAGUUGGAGGUUGAAAGUUCCUCCUGGCUCUUGUGCAGGUACAUCCCCCGUUUGUGAUGAGGUUUGGGUGUCAAAAUUACAGCUCCUGCCUGUAAUUAAAUCUUCACAGCUGAGAUGCCUCUAUUGGCAGAUCGUAUUUAUAGGCAGGCGAGUUGUUUUAGUGUCGUUCUGAAGAAGAGUUAAAGGAGGUUUUUGCUCAUAAGCAAAUUCUGUUCUCUUUCAAACUGUCACCCGCAAUCUCGUGCCAAUAAAAAAGGAACA